rnacentral:rRNA from 1 species
GACGAACGCUGGCGGCGUGCUUAACACAUGCAAGUCGAACGGUCAACGAGGGAGCUUGCUCCCUCCGGAUCAGUGGCGAACGGGUGAGUAACACGUGAGCAAUCUGCCUCUAACUCUGGGAUAAGCGUUGGAAACGACGUCUAAUACCGGAUACUAUGCGGGAGCGCAUCCUUCCCGCGUGGAAAGCACUUUGGUUGGGGAUGAGCUGGCGGCCCACCACCUUGUUGGUGAGGGAUCGGCUGACCAAGGCCACGACCGGUAGCCGGCCUGGGAGGGUGACCGGGCACAAUAGGACUGAGAGACGGCGCAGACUCCAACGGGAGGCAGCAGUGGGGAGUAUGACAGAAUAGGCGCGAGCCUGAGGCAGCAACGCCGCGUGAGGGACGACGGCCUUCGAGUUGUGAACCAAUGUGAGCGGGGAAGAAGCGAAAGUGACGGUACCUGAAGAAAAAGCACCGGCUAACUACGUG